GACGAACGCUGGCGGCGUGCUUAACACAUGCAAGUCGAACGGAAAGGCCCUGCUUUUGUGGGGUGCUCGAGUGGCGAACGGGUGAGUAACACGUGAGUAACCUGCCCUUGACUUUGGGAUAACUUCAGGAAACUGGGGCUAAUACCGGAUAGGAGCUCCUGCUGCAUGGUGGGGGUUGGAAAGUUUCGGCGGUUGGGGAUGGACUCGCGGCUUAUCAGCUUGUUGGUGGGGUAGUGGCUUACCAAGGCUUUGACGGGUAGCCGGCCUGAGAGGGUGACCGGGCACAUUGGGACUGAGAGACGGCCCAGACGCCUACGGGAGGCAGCAGUGGGGAAUAUUGCACAAUGAGCGGAAGCCAGAUGCAGCGACGCCGCGUGCGGGAUGACGGCCUUCGGGUUGUAAACCGCUUUCGCCUGUGACGAAGCGUGAGUGACGGUAAUGGGUAAAGAAGCACCGGCUAACUACGUG
rnacentral:rRNA from 1 species